AUCAUGGCUCAGAAUGAACGCUGGCGGCAUGCCUUACACAUGCAAGUCGAACGGCAGCACGGGAGCUUGCUCCUGGUGGCGAGUAGCGAACGGGUGAGUAAUACAUCGGAACGUACCCUGAAGUGGGGGGAUAACGUAGCGAAAGUUACGCUAAUACCGCAUAUUCUGUGAGCAGGAAAGAGGGGGAUCGCAAGACCUCUUGCUUUAGGAGCGGCCGAUGUCGGAUUAGCUAGUUGGUGAGGUAAAGGCUCACCAAGGCGACGAUCCGUAGCGGGUCUGAGAGGAUGAUCCGCCACACUGGGACUGAGACACGGCCCAGACUCCUACGGGAGGCAGCAGUGGGGAAUUUUGGACAAUGGGCGCAAGCCUGAUCCAGCCAUGCCGCGUGAGUGAAGAAGGCCUUCGGGUUGUAAAGCUCUUUCGGUGGGGAAGAAAUUGCACAGGAUAAUACCUUGUGUAGAUGACGGUACCCGCAUAAGAAGCACCGGCUAACUACGUG
rnacentral:rRNA from 1 species